rnacentral:rRNA from 1 species
UCGUCAGCUUACCCUGUGAAGGGGCAAAAGUAAGCAAAAGGAGUAGAACCCAAAACGUCAGGUCGAGGUGUAGCCAACGAAAUGGGAAGAAAUGGGCUACAUUUUCUAAUAAUAGAAUACUACGAACACGCAAAUGAAAUAGAACGCUUGAAGGAGGAUUUAGUAGUAAAAAGGAAAUAGAGUGUCCUUUUGAAUCCGGCCCUGAGGCACGUACACACCGCCCGUCACUCUCCCCGAACACUAUGCACACUAAUACAUAACAAAAAAGCACCAACAAGGGGAGGCAAGUCGUAACAAGGUAAGUGUACCGGAAGGUGCACUUGGACAAACCC